UUGGCACCAUAUUUCCUUCUUGUUCCUAAGUACUAGUGCCGCGGGAGUUAACGGAGCAAUCAAAAAUUUCAAAUUUGACUACUCCUGCUGUUCAAGUGCUUAUCAACAGGAAACAGUUUCAUCCAAU
rnacentral:pre_miRNA from 1 species